rnacentral:rRNA from 1 species
UACGGGGGGUGCAAGCGUUAUUCGGAAUUAUUGGGCGUAAAGGGCGCGUAGGCGGUCUUUUAAGUUAGAUGUGAAAGCCCGGGGCUUAACCCCGGAAGUGCAUUUGAAACUGAAAGACUUGAGUAUGGGAGAGGGAAGUGGAAUUCCUGGUGUAGAGGUGAAAUUCGUAGAUAUCAGGAGGAACACCGGUGGCGAAGGCGACUUCCUGGACCAAUACUGACGCUGAGGCGCGAAGGCGUGGGGAGCAAACAGG